rnacentral:rRNA from 1 species
UCGAACGGCAGCACGGGGGCAACCCUGGUGGCGAGUGGCGAACGGGUGAGUAAUACAUCGGAACGUGUCCUGUAGUGGGGGAUAGCCCGGCGAAAGCCGGAUUAAUACCGCAUACGCUCUACGGAGGAAAGGGGGGGAUCUUAGGACCUCUCGCUACAGGGGCGGCCGAUGGCAGAUUAGCUAGUUGGUGGGGUAAAGGCCUACCAAGGCGACGAUCUGUAGCUGGUCUGAGAGGACGACCAGCCACACUGGGACUGAGACACGGCCCAGACUCCUACGGGAGGCAGCAGUGGGGAAUUUUGGACAAUGGGCGCAAGCCUGAUCCAGCAAUGCCGCGUGUGUGAAGAAGGCCUUCGGGUUGUAAAGCACUUUUGUCCGGAAAGAAAACGUCGUGGUUAAUACCCGUGGCGGAUGACGGUACCGG